UUUUCGACCGCUGUAUUCUCCAG
rnacentral:miRNA from 1 species